rnacentral:rRNA from 1 species
UACAGAGGGUGCAAGCGUUAAUCGGAAUUACUGGGCGUAAAGCGUGCGUAGUCGGUUAUCUAAGUCGGAUGUGAAAUCCCCGGGCUCAACCUGGGAAUUGCAUUCGAUACUGGAUAGCUAGAGUUCGGCAGAGGGAAGUGGAAUUUCGGGUGUAGCGGUGAAAUGCGUAGAUAUGUGGAGGAACACCAAUGGUGAAGGCAGCCCCCUGGGAUAACACUGACGCUCAUGCACGAAAGCGUGGGGAGCAAACAGG